GUGCUUUGCCAGCUCAUAUAUUAAAAUUAGAAAGAUGUGGAGAAGAUUAUCAUGGUCUCUGGGCAAGAAUGACAAGUAAAUUCAUGCAGAGUCUCAUAUUUUU
ensembl:snRNA U6 U6 spliceosomal RNA